rnacentral:lncRNA from 10 species
GAGGAUGCUGAACAUCUAUGAGCAGGUUUUAAAGCCAAGAUGAGUCUCAUCUGUUUGUGUGGGUCAGGAACGGGUCUUCCUGAAGGCAUGAGGUGGGACUGGAUAAUCUUUCAGAUUUGUGAUUGGAUACCUCGGGGGAGCAGAGGCAGACUGGGAUCUCAGGACUGCAGGUAUUUCAUACUUUGGGAUAUGGAAUUGAUGGAGGUGGAGAAUAUUGGGGAUAAGGACUGAAUGAAGAAAGGAGUAGGACAACGCAGGACAACAGUAGUCUUAAGAUUUUCACUACACUUUACCCGGCACUAGUGAUAGAUAAACUCUUCUGACCCUAACCAUCACCGUGUGAGAUGGGGAGGGUGGUUA